UACGUAGGGGGCAAGCGUUGUCCGGAUUCACUGGGCGUAAAGCGCGCGCAGGCGGUGAUGUAAGUCUGAGGUGAAAACCCGAAGCUCAACUUCGGGACUGCCUUGGAUACUGCGUCACUUGAGGAUAGGAGAGGCAAGGGGAAUUCCACGUGUAGCGGUGAAAUGCGUAGAGAUGUGGAGGAACACCUGUGGCGAAGGCGCCUUGCUGGCCUAUUUCUGACGCUGAGGCGCGAAAGCGUGGGGAGCAAAC
rnacentral:rRNA from 1 species